GGACUACAAGGGUAUCUAAUCCCGUUCGCUCCCCCAGCUUUCGCGCCUCAGCGUCAAGUCUGCCCCAGGAGACCGCCUUCGCCACAGGUGUUCCUACCGAUAUCUACGCAUUUCACCGCUACACCGGUAAUUCCAUCUCCCCCUAGCAGCUUCAAGAGAAAAAGUAUCUACCGACCCUCCGGAGUUGAGCUCCGGGCUUUCACAGUAGACUUUCUUCCCCGCCUACGCGCGCUUUACGCCCAGUAACUUCGGACAACGCUCGCCCCCUACGUAUUACCGCGGCUGCUGGCAC
rnacentral:rRNA from 1 species